AGGUUGUUAACACACAAUUGGAUCAUGAGUGAAUCUUGAUGAACAGGAGUCAGCAAACAGUGAUUCACCACCAGGUAUUGACGCCAAGCGUGCAAAACCUUGACUUGAACCCUCCAUGAUGCCUUGUAUGGGCGGACGUCUUUGAGGAAAGCGAAGGUAGUAGCCAUUUGGAAGAGAGGAAAGGUAUGCUAAGUAUUGUUAUAUGAUUGUAAGCUCUCGGUUUUGGUGAUGGAAAAACAGGUGUAGGUGUAAAGUAUUUAUAGGAAAGUAAAUUAGGUUUCGUGUAUUCAUAGGUUACUCUCCAAAAAUAAAAACGAUGCAUAUUUUGUGGGAUACAAUCUUUGAUAUUAUUGUUUUUUUGGGAUAUGUUAGGAUCAAUUUUUUAUUUGGUAAUUAAUAUGGUUUAUAUA